rnacentral:lncRNA from 1 species
CUCACCAACACACAUACCAAGCCUCAACCGUCUUCUCCUCCCAUCUACACACUCACUGCGAUUUCACCCACCUUUUUGGCUUCUUCAUCGCAAACCACUCUAAAACACUUAAGUUGUGAAUCUGAACAACGUCAUCCUUUACCACCAUUUAUCUCUUCCAAGCUCAACCGUAAAACUACAAGAACCACCAAUCUCCACCGCCAUUUUCACAUGUCUGUUGGCAAUUCUACUUCCUUUACUUGUCUUGUUUUUUAUUUUGCUAUUGGUUUCUUGUGUUUUAUUUUGAGUAAAGAUUUGAAAAGAGGAAAUGUAUUAUAUGAGUUCGUG